rnacentral:rRNA from 1 species
CCUACGGGAGGCAGCAGUGGGGAAUAUUGCACAAUGGGUGGAAGCCUGAUGCAGCAACGCCGUGUGCGGGAUGACGGCCUUCGGGUUGUAAACCGCUUUCGCUCAUGACGAAGCUUUGUGUGACGGUAGUGGGUAAAGAAGCACCGGCUAACUACGUGCCAGCAGCCGCGGUGAUACGUAGGGUGCGAGCGUUGUCCGGAUUUAUUGGGCGUAAAGGGCUCGUAGGUGGUUGAUCGCGUCGGAAGUGUAAUCUUGGGGCUUAACCCUGAGCGUGCUUUUGAUACGGGUUGACUUGAGGAAGGUAGGGGAGAAUGGAAUUCCUGGUGGAGCGGUGGAAUGCGCAGAUAUCAGGAGGAACACCGGUGGCGAAGGCGGUUCUCUGGGCCUUUCCUGACGCUGAGGAGCGAAAGCGUGGGGAGCGAACAGGCUUAGAUACCCUGGUAGUCCACGCUGUAAACGGUGGGUACUAGGUGUGGGGUCCAUUCCACGGGUUCCGUGCCGUAGCUAACGCUUUAAGUACCCCGCCUGGGGAGUACGGCCGCAAGGCUAAAACUCAAAGGAAU